rnacentral:tRNA from 1 species
GGCCUCGUAGCUCAGGUGGUUAGGGCGUUGGUUGUACGCAAGCCUUCCUCUUGCAGUCAUGGGUUCGAAUCCCACCGAGGCCG